rnacentral:rRNA from 1 species
GUGUCAGCCGCCGCGGUAAUACGUAGGGUGCAAGCGUUAAUCGGAAUUACUGGGCGUAAAGCGUGCGUAGGCGGUUGCGCAAGACAGGUGUGAAAUCCCCGGGCUUAACCUGGGAAUUGCACUUGUGACUGUGCGGCUUGAGUGCGGCAGAGGGGGAUGGAAUUCCGCGUGUAGCAGUGAAAUGCGUAGAUAUGCGGAGGAACACCGAUGGCGAAGGCAGUCCCCUGGGCCUGCACUGACGCUCAUGCACGAAAGCGUGGGGAGCAAACAGGAUUAGAAACCCUGGUAGUCC